rnacentral:rRNA from 1 species
UUGACCUCGGAUCAGGUAGGGAUACCCGCUGAACUUAAGCAUAUCAAUAAGCGGAGGAAAAGAAACCAACAGGGAUUGCUCUAGUAACGGCGAGUGAAGCAGCAAUAGCUCAAAUUUGAAAUCUGGCGUCUUCGGCGUCCGAGUUGUAAUUUGUAGAGGAUGCUUCUGGGCAGCCACCGACCUAAGUUCCUUGGAACAGGACGUCAUAGAGGGUGAGAAUCCCGUAUGCGGUCGGAAAGGCACCCUACACGUAGCUCCUUCGACGAGUCGAGUUGUUUGGGAAUGCAGCUCUAAAUGGGAGGUAAAUUUCUUCUAAAGCUAAAUAUUGGCCAGAGACCGAUAGCGCACAAGUAGAGUGAUCGAAAGAUGAAAAGCACUUUGGAAAGAGAGUUAAAAAGCACGUGAAAUUGUUGAAAGGGAAGGGAUUGCAACCAGACUUGCUCGCGGUGUUCCGCCGGUCUUCUGACCGGUCUACUCGCCGCGUUGCAGGCCAGCAUCGUCUGGUGCCGCUGGAUAAGACUUGAGGAAUGUAGCUCCCUCGGGAGUGUUAUAGCCUCUUGUGAUGCAGCGAGCGCCGGGCGAGGUCCGCGCUUCGGCUAGGAUGCUGGCGUAA